rnacentral:rRNA from 1 species
UACGAGGGGGGCAAGCGUUGUUCGGAAUUAUUGGGCGUAAAGGGCGCGUAGGCGGUUUGACAAGUCUGAUGUGAAAUCUAUGGGCUCAACCCAUAGCCUGCAUUAGAAACUGUCGGGCUUGAGUAUGGGAGAGGUGAGUGGAAUUUCCGGUGUAGCGGUGAAAUGCGUAGAUAUCGGAAGGAACACCUGUGGCGAAAGCGGCUCACUGGACCAUAACUGACGCUGAGGCGCGAAAGCGAGGGGAGCAAACAGG